CCGUAGGUGAACCUGCGGAGGGAUCAUUACAAGUGACCCCGGUCUAACCACCGGGAUGUUCAUAACCCUUUGUUGUCCGACUCUGUUGCCUCCGGGGCGACCCUGCCUUCGGGCGGGGGCUCCGGGUGGACACUUCAAACUCUUGCGUAACUUUGCAGUCUGAGUAAACUUAAUUAAUAAAUUAAAACUUUUAACAACGGAUCUCUUGGUUCUGGCAUCGAUGAAGAACGCAGCGAAAUGCGAUAAGUAAUGUGAAUUGCAGAAUUCAGUGAAUCAUCGAAUCUUUGAACGCACAUUGCGCCCCCUGGUAUUCCGGGGGGCAUGCCUGUUCGAGCGUCAUUUCACCACUCAAGCCUCGCUUGGUAUUGGGCAACGCGGUCCGCCGCGUGCCUCAAAUCGACCGGCUGGGUCUUCUGUCCCCUAAGCGUUGUGGAAACUAUUCGCUAAAGGGUGCUCGGGAGGCUACGCCGUAAAACAAACCCAUUUCUAAGGUUGACCUCGGAUCAGGUAGGGAUACCCGCUGAACUUAAGCAUAUCAAUAAGCGGAGGAAG
rnacentral:rRNA from 1 species